rnacentral:rRNA from 1 species
UACGGAGGGGGUUAGCGUUGUUCGGAAUGACUGGGCGUAAAGCGCGCGUAAGCGGAUCAGGAAGUUGGGGGUGAAAUCCCGGGGCUCAACCCCGGAAUGGCCUUCAAAACUCCUGGUCUUGAGUUCGAGAGAGGUGAGUGGAAUUCCGAGUGUAGAGGUGAAAUUCGUAGAUAUUCGGAGGAACACCAGUGGCGAAGGCGGCUCACUGGCUCGACACUGACGCUGAGGUGCGAAAGCGUGGGGAGCAAACAGG